CUCUUUCUCGAUUCAGUGGAUGGUGGUGCAUGGCCGUUCUUAGUUGGUGGAGUGAUCUGUCUGGUUAAUUCCGAUAACGAACGAGACUCUCCCCUGCUAACUAGUCGGUUGGAUCUUGAUCAGUGGGUUGAGUGCCGAGUAACUCUCGCUGUGCGUGGUGUGCGUCUCGUUCCUCACGGUUCGUUGCGUGCUCAUGUGUGGCGUUGGAUGCCUUGGAUCACACUGCACCCCAAGUCCGCCGCUUUGCUAUAACUCUUCUUAGAGGGAUUCACGGCACUGAAGCCGUAAGAGACUGAGAGCAAUAACAGGUCUGUGAUGCCCUUAGAUGCUCUGGGCCGCACGCGCGCUACAAUGCCGGGCACAGCAGGUGUUUCUCCUGCUCCGACAGGAGCGGGUAACCCUCUGAAAGCCAGUGUUCUUGCAAGUGCUUCCUCCCUCGUGGAGUUGCACAGAGGCGUGCUUGGGCCUGGGACUUGCAAUUCUUUCCCACCAACGAGGAAUGCCUAGUAGCGGCGGGUCACUGAGCCCGCUGUGACUCAGUCCCUGCCCUUUGUACACACCGCCCGUCGCUACUACCGAUUGGGUGUACCAGUGAGAGCCUUGGACUGGCGUCCGUUGUUGCUCGCAAGAGUGACAAGCGGGUCCGACGGAAAGAGGUCCGAACUGGUGCACUUAGAGGAAGUAAAAGUCGUAACAAGGUUUCCGUAGGUGA
rnacentral:rRNA from 1 species